rnacentral:rRNA from 1 species
AACGUAGGAGGCAAGCGUUAUCCGGAGUGACUGGGCGUAAAGAGCGUGUAGGCGGUUGAGUAAGUUGCGUGUGAAAGCGCCCGGCUAAACUGGGCGAGGACAGGCAAGACUGCUGAGCUAGAGGCCGAUAGAGGGGUGCGGAAUUCCGGGUGUAGCGGUGAAAUGUGUAGAGAUCCGGAGGAACACCAGUGGUGCAGACGGCGCCCUGGAUCGGACCUGACGCUGAGGUGCGAAAGCGUGGGGAACAAACAGG